UACGUAAGGUCCGAGCGUUGUCCGGAAUCAUUGGGCGUAAAGGGUACGUAGGCGGAUAAGCAAGUUAGAAGUGAAAUCCUAUAGCUCAACUAUAGUAAGCUUUUAAAACUGCUCAUCUUGAGGUAUGGAAGGGAAAGUGGAAUUCCUAGUGUAGCGGUGAAAUGCGCAGAUAUUAGGAGGAAUACCAGUGGCGAAGGCGACUUUCUGGCCAUAUACUGACGCUGAGGUACGAAAGCGUGGGUAGCAAACAGGAUUAGAUACCCUGGUAGUC
rnacentral:rRNA from 1 species